CAUGGGAUGCUUUAUACUGCUAUGCACGUUUUAGAGAUGACAAACUGAGCCCCAAAUGAUGCUUUCCCAGGGCCCGACAGCUUCAUUGGAGGUGGAGACAAGAAGUAGGACUCUUGUAGUUUCUGAUGACAAAGCUGAGUCCACACUCUUCACCUCGGCGGGCAUGGAGGAUCCAGGGUAAGGAGAUUCCAGCUCCAAUACUGAUGGUGACACCCUGGGCAACCUUAUUCUCUGUCCAGUCAGUGUCUUUAGGCAUCAGCCCCUUAUUUCCUGUCCUCAUCUCACCAGGACACUCCACAUGCAAAAUGGUAAGUUCUUCAGAAAAAAAAAAUGGAUUUGAAAAA